rnacentral:tRNA from 1 species
AGCAAAGUAAGCUAAUAAAGCUAUUGGGUUCAUGUUUCAAGUAUGGUGUAUAAAAUCAUCCUUUGCUA